rfam:Heterocephalus glaber contig119480, whole genome shotgun sequence.
GUGUAUGACCAUACCACCCUCAACGCGCCCGAUCUCUUCUGAUCUUGGAAGCUAAGCGGGAUCGGGCCUGGUUACUACUUGGAUGGGAGAAAUAUAGUACAUUAUUGUUAUCCGUA